UAAUACGGAGGGUGCAAGCGUUGUCCGGAUUUAUUGGGUUUAAAGGGUGCGUAGGUGGCGUGUUAAGUCAGUGGUGAAAGCCUGCAGCUCAACUGUAGAGGUGCCAUUGAUACUGACAUGCUUGAGUAUGGACGAGGUAGGCGGAAUUUGUGGUGUAGCGGUGAAAUGCAUAGAUACCACAAAGAACACCGAUAGCGAAGGCAGCUUACUGGACCAUAACUGACACUGAGGCACGAAAGCGUGGGGAGCGAACAGGAUUAGAUACCCUGGUAGUCCACGCCGUAAACGAUGCUCACUCGAUGUAUGCGAUAUACUGUAUGCGUCCAAGCGAAAGCGUUAAGUGAGCCACCUGGGGAGUACGCUCGCAAGAGUG
rnacentral:rRNA from 1 species